rnacentral:tRNA from 1 species
GCCGCUGUGGCGGAAUAGGCAGACGCAAUGGACUUAAAAUCCAUCGAGGGCAACCUCAUACCGGUUCGAGUCCGGUCAGCGGCACCA